rnacentral:rRNA from 1 species
AGUGAACGCUGGCGGUAGGCCUAACACAUGCAAGUCGAACGGCAGCACAGUAAGAGCUUGCUCUUACGGGUGGCGAGUGGCGGACGUGUGAGGAAUACAUCGGAAUCUACUUUUUCGUGGGGGAUAACGUAGGGAAACUUACGCUAAUACCGCAUACGACCUACGGGUGAAAGCAUGGGAUCUUCGGACCUUGCGCGAUUGAAUGAGCCGCUGUCGGAUUAGCUAGUUGGCGGGGUAAAGGCCCACCAAGGCGACGAUCCGUAGCUGGUCUGAGAGGAUGGUCAGCCACACUGGAACUGAGACACGGUCCAGACUCCUACGGGAGGCAGCAGUGGGGAAUAUUGGACAAUGGGCGCAAGCCUGAUCCAGCCAUACCGCGUGGGUGAAGAAGGCCUUCGGGUUGUAAAGCCCUUUUGUUGGGAAAGAAAAGCAGCAGGUUAAUACCCCGCUGUUCUGACGGUACCCAAAGAAUAAGCACCGGCUAACUUCGUG